rnacentral:rRNA from 1 species
GACGAACGCUGGCGGCGUGCUUAACACAUGCAAGUCGAACGGACCCUUUGGGGUUAGUGGCGAACGGGUGAGUAACACGUGGGUGAUCUGCCCUGCACUUUGGGAUAAGCCUGGGAAACUGGGUCUAAUACCGGAUAGGACUACGCACUGCAUGGUGUGUGGUGGAAAGCUUUUGCGGUGUGGGAUGGGCCCGCGGCCUAUCAGCUUGUUGGUGGGGUGAUGGCCUACCAAGGCGACGACGGGUAGCCGGCCUGAGAGGGUGACCGGCCACACUGGGACUGAGAUACGGCCCAGACUCCUACGGGAGGCAGCAGUGGGGAAUAUUGCACAAUGGGCGCAAGCCUGAUGCAGCGACGCCGCGUGAGGGAUGACGGCCUUCGGGUUGUAAACCUCUUUCGCCAGGGACGAAGCGCAAGUGACGGUACCUGGAGAAGAAGGACCGGCCAACUACGUGCCAGCAGCCGCGGUAAUACGUAGGGUCCGAGCGUUGUCCGGAAUUACUGGGCGUAAAGAGCUCGUAGGUGGUUUGUCGCGUUGUUCGUGAAAACUCACAGCUUAACUGCGGGCGUGCGGGCGAUACGGGCAGACUGGAGUACUGCAGGGGAGACUGGAAUUCCUGGUGUAGCGGUGGAAUGCGCAGAUAUCAGGAGGAACACCGGUGGCGAAGGCGGGUCUCUGGGCAGUAACUGACGCUGAGGAGCGAAAGCGUGGGGAGCGAACAGGAUUAGAUACCCUGGUAGUCCACGCCGUAAACGGUGGGUACUAGGUGUGGGUCUCCUUCCUUGGGAUCCGUGCCGUAGCUAACGCAUUAAGUACCCCGCCUGGGGAGUACGGCCGCAAGGCUAAAACUCAAAGGAAUUGACGGGGGCCCGCACAAGCGGCGGAGCAUGUGGAUUAAUUCGAUGCAACGCGAAGAACCUUACCUGGGUUUGACAUGCACAGGACGCCGGCAGAGAUGUCGGUUCCCUUGUGGCCUGUGUGCAGGUGGUGCAUGGCUGUCGUCAGCUCGUGUCGUGAGAUGUUGGGUUAAGUCCCGCAACGAGCGCAACCCUUGUCUCAUGUUGCCAGCACGUUAUGGUGGGGACUCGUGAGAGACUGCCGGGGUCAACUCGGAGGAAGGUGGGGAUGACGUCAAGUCAUCAUGCCCCUUAUGUCCAGGGCUUCACACAUGCUACAAUGGCCGGUACAAAGGGCUGCGAUGCCGUGAGGUGGAGCGAAUCCUUUCAAAGCCGGUCUCAGUUCGGAUCGGGGUCUGCAACUCGACCCCGUGAAGUCGGAGUCGCUAGUAAUCGCAGAUCAGCAACGCUGCGGUGAAUACGUUCCCGGGCCU